rnacentral:rRNA from 1 species
CAGCCGCCGCGGUAAUACGGAGGGUGCAAGCGUUAAUCGGAAUUACUGGGCGUAAAGCGCGCGUAGGUGGUUUGUUAAGUUGGAUGUGAAAUCCCCGGGCUCAACCUGGGAACUGCAUUCAAAACUGACUGACUAGAGUAUGGUAGAGGGUGGUGGAAUUUCCUGUGUAGCGGUGAAAUGCGUAGAUAUAGGAAGGAACACCAGUGGCGAAGGCGACCACCUGGACUAAUACUGACACUGAGGUGCGAAAGCGUGGGGAGCAAACAGGAUUAGAUACCCCUGUAGUCCCUGUCUCUUAUAA